AUGGGCACCAGGGCUACAAAACCCAACCCAGCUCUGGAAGCUGUGGCAAGGGAGAAGGACAGCCCUGCCACAAGCUCCCAGCCUGUCCAGCAAUUCCUCUCUUUCUUGCCUAAUGCAAGGGCUCAGCCUGAAGCGCAGCUCCCACACACUCCAUUUGUAGCCCCUGCCACGCUGCUCCACCUCUGGCUUCAGCCUGGAGGGGUGGAGGACCCGGUCCCGUGCUGCAGAUCAGCUUGGCAGGACCUCACAGCAGGAUUAGGAAGCCUGUUGCUGGAGAUGGACACCACGAUCCACCCCUCUGUGGGACCCCCUGACAGCUCCUGGGGCAGACGCCGGCUCAGGGCACCCACAAAAUGGUGGCAAGGGCCCUGCCCUGCCUCGGGGUGCUCUAGCAGCAUAUCUGGAGAUGCUGCCUGGCACGCAGAAGCCGUGCCAUGGGAAGGAAGGGAGAGGGUGCUGGGGGAAGGGGCCUCGGCAGCUGUGAGCUUAACCCAGCAGGGAACGGCGCAAGACAAUAGAUGCCUCUGUUCCAAAAAUAGCUGGCGACGUGGAUGCUUUCCAAGGAGGAACCCGAAUCUGCAGCGCGCACGAGGCAGGCAGCAGCAUGUUGGAUGCCAGAGGAGCCGGACAGGCACAUUUUGGAAAGCCGAGCAAACGCGCCGACAGAUAGGCAGCGUGGCAGCCGGGGGCCCAAACGAGCAGGUGGUGAAACUGCACGUCUUGCUGAAAGACACUCCGGGCUCGGGAGCUGGUCGUGCAAGGCUGCCGGGGUCCCCAUCCUCUGCAGAGCCAAACCACAGCCUUACCCCAGGGCAGCCCCGACCACCACGACCUGGUCCCACCACAGCCACCUCGGUGUGCCCCACUCCUCUCCCCGAUGUCCCUCAGGGGGAGCUUUUGGAGCUGCUGCUUGUCUUCCUUGAGCCUUCUGCUCUUCCAGCCUGCCUGGGCUCCAGCUUCAGGGUCUGCCCUGCAAGCACAGGAACACAAAUGCUCUCACUCACUCCUUUCCUUCAAACAAAGCCAGAACUACAGGUGGAGGUAGCUCAGCAAAUAUCACAAAAUUUGAGGCGAGCAUGCAAUCUGCUUCAACGCAACAGGCGGUCUUCAGUCGUGUUGGGCUCUGAGGGCUGUAAUUCUGCACCUGCCCGCUGUCCCCUGCUGUGGCCAUCCUGGUGCACGCAGACCUGCUCGUGCCCAUGGCAAGGGCUGGAGCUGCAGCACCUGAGCACUGGGAGAGCAUCACCCACACCUGCAGAGUCUGCACUCGGGAGGGGAAAUUCACCCCAGCUGCCAGCCCCGGCUGAUAAGACAAUCUUCCUUCAUCUCUUGCUGCCACUUGCUCCACCUCUAUUUUUUUUUUUUUAUUAUUUUAUUAUUCCAGUUGCACCCAAAAGCCUGCUCUCCCCAGCGUUUCUGCAUAUCCUGCUCUGCGUUUUCCCCUGA
rnacentral:lncRNA from 1 species